GACGAACGCUGGCGGCGUGCUUAACACAUGCAAGUCGAACGGAAAGACCCUGCUUUUGUGGGGUGCUCGAGUGGCGAACGGGUGAGUAACACGUGAGUAACCUGCCCUUGACUUUGGGAUAACUUCAGGAAACUGGGGCUAAUACCGGAUAGGAGCUCCUGCUGCAUGGUGGGGGUUGGAAAGUUUCGGCGGUUGGGGAUGGACUCGCGGCUUGUCAGCUUGUUGGUGGGGUAGUGGCUUACCAAGGCUUUGACGGGUAGCCGGCCUGAGAGGGUGACCGGCCACAUUGGGACUGAGAUACGGCCCAGACUCCUACGGGAGGCAGCAGUGGGGAAUAUUGCACAAUGGGCGGAAGCCUGAUGCAGCAACGCCGCGUGCGGGAUGACGGCCUUCGGGUUGUAAACCGCUUUCGCCUGUGACGAAGCGUGAGUGACGGUAAUGGGUAAAGAAGCACCGGCUAACUACGUG
rnacentral:rRNA from 1 species